AAGGGGCCUUUCGGGGCCCCGGAGACCGGCGGAUGGGUGAGUAACGCGUAGGUAAUCUGCCGUUAGGCCGGGGAUAACAUCGCGAAAGCGGUGCUAAUACCGGAUGAUGCAGCGGCCCCGCAUGGGGACAGUUGUUAAACCCUUCGGGGGCCUAACGAUGAACCUGCGUGCCAUUAGCUAGUUGGUAGGGUAACGGCCUACCAAGGCGAUGAUGGCUAGGGGGUCUGAGAGGAUGAUCCCCCACACUGGGACUGAGACACGGCCCAGACUCCUACGGGAGGCAGCAGUGAGGAAUCUUGCGCAAUGGGGGCAACCCUGACGCAGCCACGCCGCGUGCCGGAAGACGGCCCUAUGGGUUGUAAACGGCUUUUACCAGGGAAGAACCCGGAGGUUUCGAUCUCCGCUGACGGUACCUGGUGAAUAAGCACCGGCUAACUCCGUGCCAGCAGCCGCGGUAAUACGGAGGGUGCAAGCGUUGUCCGGAAUCAUUGGGUGUAAAGGGUGCGUAGGCGGAAGCCUAAGUCGGGGGUGAAAUCCUGCCGCUUAACGGCAGAAUGGCCUUCGAUACUGGGUUUCUUGAGUCCGGAAGAGGUUGGUGGAAUUCGUGGUGUAGCGGUGAAAUGCAUAGAUAUCACGAAGAACACCGGUGGCGAAGGCGGCCAACUGGUCCGGUACUGACGCUGAGGCACGAGAGCGUGGGGAGCGAACAG
rnacentral:rRNA from 1 species